CACGUGACGAGGAACUACGCUUAGCGAGGCCUUAGGGGAAAAAGUCUAACUGGCGGAGCUGCUGGGAACUGGGGCGAUGGGCUCUUAGUAUCGGAGGAUUGGAACCGUCUGAUUUUUACCUGAAAUUCCUUAGUCUCUCCUGUGUUGGGGAAAUGGUCACCUUGCCUUCAGGGACCUGGGCUUUCAGCUGUCCAUACCUGGCCCUGGUUGAUGGCGGCAUGCUGGGCAGUGCAUGUGAAGACGCACAUGCACAGGACUGCACCAAGGGGCAACGCAGUACUGCAGCCUUCCUCUGACUCAAUUUGGAUUCUCUCUGUCCGUUGUCACCAC